AGCUAAAAUACUGCUUCAAGCUGCCUUUAACUUCGUAGAAGCUCUGUUCUGCUGAGGGCUGGGCAGAGCAGAAGGGAAGAGUAGUAACUAGGGCUUACUGAAAACUAGUGGGGCUUUCUGCUGGGGCAUGCAUUACUGAGCAGUCACUUUGCUACCUUUUGAAAGGAUAGGGAUGCUUCUAGACUCUUCAUGCUGGUGCAGGUACGUGUGCAGGCACAGAAACCUCAUACCGGAGAGAAUGCUGCAGUGUUUCAAUAGUUACAGGUUUUUGGCCAAAAGAGUGAAAGAGCACAUGAAGUGAAGAGUGACAUAUGCAAUGCCCCUGUCCACCUCUGCUAUCCUGGACGUGCCAAGUCUUCCUGCUCUUUUUCUAGUCCACAGCAGAUGAGUGAUAUAGCAAGUUGACUGGUUGCUCUAUUCUCUCUCCUGUACCUGUAAGAUGACGAGCUCGUGCUACCACUGGAAGAGUGGCACUGGGCUCUGGUGACAAAGUAAGCAGGUACCAGUGACUGGCAAGUGCAUACUGCAGCCAAGGGAGAUUCCAGGGUGUCAGAAAUGUCUCACCUUGGUUCUGUGUCUGGAUGUUUAAACACUGAGUCAGCAUCCCAAUGCACUGUGUUAUUCUGGAAGAAAGUUACUCCAUUUACUCCUCAGGUUCCUGAUUCCUGGGGUCAGAGACUGGCCUAUAAUUGCAGCUGUCAGCUCACGGUUAAAUAGAGAGAUGUAAAAUACCUCCUUGCACAUCAUUUAUUAACAUUUAAAACCCAUCAGGGGACAUAUAAAACAUUCCUUUUUUUGUAACAUUUAUAAACUACUGAGGAGCGCAGAAAUAUUCCCCCUUAUUAAUUACGGUAAUUUAGGCGAUGUCCGUGGAGGGCUGGUGAGCACAGCAGCUAUGAUUCUCCUCCACAAUCCUUUUAUUUCUAGGCACUGAGAUUCCCCAGAGCCCCUUCCAGCUGCAAAUUCUCCUGGCAUGAAGAAGGGUAAUGCUGGAGAGCGAAUGUAUUUUCAGACCAUGUAUACAUGAGGGAGUUCCACAAAGAUUACUGAGGAUAUGAUUUAUGGUUUUUGCUGUCUGUGGGGGAAUGAGGGACCAAGUGUCUUCCAUAAAAUGUGCGCUACCACAGCUUGUGACUGGCUUCCAUUCAGGUCAAAGUGCUAACCACCAUGCAGGACUGCUUCCUGUGCCUGAAGUAGCUGAAGGGCCUUCUCAAGGAGUUCCCUGUGUUGUUCUCCAGCAGCAGCCAGUGCAUCAAAUCAGGGGCAGCAUCUUUGCACCCCUCUUUUGUUGCAGAAGAGGGCCAGCUCUGCCUCCAUACCCUUUUCUCCCUGAGCAGGUAAGUGAUUGUCACUGUUACAUUUGCCAGCCCCCCUGGGAGACAGACGAGUGAAGCUGUGCUCCUGAGACCUGAACAUAUAAUUUGCAACACGCAAUUUAUGUCGCAUCAUACCUAGCUGGAGUUCUAGUGCCUGGAGUACCCGAAAUACAUCUACAAAUAGAUCAUGUCAUGUCAAAAGUGAAAUGGAAGGUGAUAGUAAUUGUGGCCUAUCUAAUUAGAAAGCAAGAAUCAGAGUGUCUAACGAAUGGCAACACCUGGAAUACCUGCACAAAAAGCUAAUCAAAAGUCAACUUGAAAUCCAGGGAAAGCCUAUAUAUGGCUGUUUCUGCCCCUUAAAAAAACUGCUCAGAACAUUGCAAAUUACACUCCGAUCACACUUCUGCUGGUGUGAGCCAUAUGGAAAUAAAGCUUAAAACAAUAAUCUGACUUUUCAAGAAGGUUACAUCCA